rnacentral:rRNA from 1 species
AUGUCCAACCUUAAGGUUCUCGUUCUGUAUUUCGAAGUCGUUCCGAGAGAGCCGGUAGCCAUCAGAGGUGGAGGGUUUCCCAGGCUUAUGAAACUCACUAUUUACAGUCGAGUGCCACGGGUGUUCUUCCAGGAAGGAGCUAUGCCCAUGCUUGAAUGGCUUGUUAUCGUGUUCCAGUUCUAUGCUGGCCCACCAAAUAGAGAUCCUGUCGGUAUCAAUCAUCUCACGAAACUCAGCGUAGUCGAGAUUCGCUGUGAAGAGAAAUGGUACAGCACAGACACCCCGUGCAUCAGCGCCACAAUUGACGUCCUUAGAGAAGAAGCAUGGGAGCAUCGCAACGAUGUGUUAUUUUCUGUCACUGCUUACAGUUCAGGGACUUACGCAGCGAACAAAAAUAGUGCAGAUAUUUUGGAAGAGGUCAAUGACGCUUGCAGCAGUGAGACGGGCGAGUUCGAACGAGGAGGAGAGCAGCAGCAGGGUGAGAUGGAGGAAGAGGGGAGCCAGGCAUAA